rnacentral:rRNA from 1 species
UAGAGUUUGAUCAUGGCUCAGGAUGAACGCUGGCGGCGUGCUUAACACAUGCAAGUCGAACGGACUCAUAUUGAAACCUAGUGAUUUAUGAGUUAGUGGCGGACGGGUGAGUAACGCGUGGAUAACCUGCCGUAUACCGGGGGAUAACACUUAGAAAUAGGUGCUAAUACCGUAUAAGCGCACGGCUCCGCAUGGGGCAGUGUGAAAAACUCCGGUGGUAUACGAUGGAUCCGCGUCUGAUUAGCUAGUUGGCGGGGUAACGGCUCACCAAGGCAGCGAUCAGUAGCCGGCCUGAGAGGGUGGACGGCCACAUUGGGACUGAGACACGGCCCAAACUCCUACGGGAGGCAGCAGUGAGGAAUAUUGGUCAAUGGGCGCGAGCCUGAACCAGCCAAGUCGCGUGAGGGAAGACGGUCCUAUGGAUUGUAAACCUCUUUUGUCGGGGAGCAAAAGACGCCACGUGUGGCGUUCCGAGAGUACCCGAAGAAAAAGCAUCGGCUAACUCCGUGCCAGCAGCCGCGGUAAUACGGAGGAUGCGAGCGUUAUCCGGAUUUAUUGGGUUUAAAGGGUGCGCAGGCGGAAGAUCAAGUCAGCGGUAAAAUUGAGAGGCUCAACCUCUUCGAGCCGUUGAAACUGGUUUUCUUGAGUGAGCGAGAAGUAUGCGGAAUGCGUGGUGUAGCGGUGAAAUGCAUAGAUAUCACGCAGAACUCCGAUUGCGAAGGCAGCAUACCGGCGCUCAACUGACGCUCAUGCACGAAAGUGUGGGUAUCGAACAGGAUUAGAUACCCUGGUAGUCCACACAGUAAACGAUGAAUACUAAUUGUUCGGGGAGAAUGAUCCCUGAGUGAUACAGCGAAAGCGUUAAGUAUUCCACCUGGGGAGUACGCCGGCAACGGUGAAACUCAAAGGAAUUGACGGGGGCCCGCACAAGCGGAGGAACAUGUGGUUUAAUUCGAUGAUACGCGAGGAACCUUACCCGGGCUCAAGCGACACAGGAAUACUUUUGAAAGGAGGUAGCUCUACGGAGUCUGUGUCGAGGUGCUGCAUGGUUGUCGUCAGCUCGUGCCGUGAGGUGUCGGCUUAAGUGCCAUAACGAGCGCAACCCCCAUCGCCAGUUACCAGCAAGUCAAGUUGGGGACUCUGGCGAGACUGCCGGCGCAAGCUGUGAGGAAGGCGGGGAUGACGUCAAAUCAGCACGGCCCUUACGUCCGGGGCGACACACGUGUUACAAUGGCAGGUACAGAGAGAAGCAAUGCGGCGACGCAAAGCGGAACUUGAAAGCCUGUCUCAGUUCGGAUUGGAGUCUGCAACUCGACUCCAUGAAGCUGGAUUCGCUAGUAAUCGCGCAUCAGCCAUGGCGCGGUGAAUACGUUCCCGGGCCUUGUACACACCGCCCGUCAAGCCAUGGAAGCCGGGAGUGCCUGAAGUGAGCAACCGCAAGGAGCGCCCUAAGGUAAAACUGGUGACUGGGGCUAAGUCGUAACAAGGUAACCGUAA